rnacentral:rRNA from 1 species
GAGUUUGAUCUUGGCUCAGAUUGAACGCUGGCGGCAUGCCUUACACAUGCAAGUCGAACGGCAGCAUGAUCUAGCUUGCUAGAUUGAUGGCGAGUGGCGAACGGGUGAGUAAUACAUCGGAACGUGCCCUGUAGUGGGGGAUAACUAGUCGAAAGAUUAGCUAAUACCGCAUACGACCUGAGGGUGAAAGUGGGGGACCGCAAGGCCUCAUGCUAUAGGAGCGGCCGAUGUCUGAUUAGCUAGUUGGUGGGGUAAAGGCCCACCAAGGCGACGAUCAGUAGCUGGUCUGAGAGGACGAUCAGCCACACUGGGACUGAGACACGGCCCAGACUCCUACGGGAGGCAGCAGUGGGGAAUUUUGGACAAUGGGCGAAAGCCUGAUCCAGCAAUGCCGCGUGUGUGAAGAAGGCCUCGG